rnacentral:rRNA from 1 species
AGUCUAAGGUUUCCUGGGGAAGGUUCGUCCGCCCAGGGUAAGUCGGGACCUAAGGAGAGGCCGAAAGGCGUAUCUGAUGGAUAGCAGGUGGAAAUUCCUGCACUAUAGCCAUACUUAAAAGAUGCAAGGGACGCAGGAGAGGAAGAUAACCGAGGAAGAGGAAAAACUCGGAUCGAAAGAUGGAGUGAAAAUAUAAGUAACGAAGUAUCAAGAAUCACACUGACGAGAAAAGCUUGUAGAAAUUGUAUGGAAAUACCCGUACCGCAAACCGACACAGGUAGAUGAGGAGAGGAUCCUAAGACGAACGGGAGAAGCAUUGUUAAGGAACUCGGCAAAAUAACCCCGUAACUUCGGGAGAAGGGGAGCCUAUGUAAAAGUAGGCCGCAGUGAAAAGGCCCAAGCAACUGUUUAACAAAAACACAGGUUUCUGCUAAAUCGAAAGAUGAAGUAUAGGAGCUGACGCCUGCCCAGUGCUGGAAGGUUAAGGGAAAGAGUUAGGGUUAAACCGAAGCUUAGAACUGAAGCCCCAGUGAACGGCGGCCGUAACUAUAACGGUCCUAAGGUAGCGAAAUUCCUUGUCAGGUAAGUUCUGACCCGCACGAAAGGCGUAAUGAUUUGGGCACUGUCUCGACAAUGUACCCGGCGAAAUUGUAGUACUAGUGAAGAUGCUAGUUACCUGCGACAAGACAGAAAGACCCCAUGGAGCUUUACUGCAGCUUGAUACUGGGUUUUGGUAAUUUAUGUACAGGAUAGGUGGGAUACGAAGAAGCAAGUGCGCCAGCAUUUGUGGAGUAGACGUUGGGAUACCACUCUUAAAUUAUUGAAAUUCUAACCUGUGAUCAUGAACUGGUCAGGGGACAAUGUCAGGCGGGCAGUUUGACUGGGGCGGUCGCCUCCUAAAGAGUAACGGAGGCGCCCAAAGGUUUCCUCAGCGCGGACAGAAAUCGCGCGAAAGAGUGCAAAGGCAGAAGGAAGCUUAACUGAGAGACAGACAUGUCGACCAGAUACGAAAGUAGGGCUUAGUGAUCCGGUGGUUGUAAAUGGAAAUGCCAUCGCUCAACGGACAAAAGUUACCCUGGGGAUAACAGGCUUAUCUCCCCCAAGAGUUCACAUCGACGGGGAGGUUUGGCACCUCGAUGUCGGCUCAUCGCAUCCUGGAGCUGAAGUCGGUUCCAAGGGUUGGGCUGUUCGCCCAUUAAAGCGGUACGCGAGCUGGGUUCAGAACGUCGUGAGACAGUUCGGUCCUUAUCUGUCGCAGGCGUAGGAUAUUUGAAGGGAGCUGUCCUUAGUACGAGAGGACCAGGAUGGACAUACCGAUGGUGUAUCAGUUGUCACACCAGUGGCACGGCUGAGUAGCUAAGUAUGGAAGGGAUAAACGCUGAAAGCAUCUAAGUGUGAAGCCCACCUUAAGAUAAGAUAUCCCAUUGCGUGAAGCAAGUAAGAUCCCAUGAAGACUACAUGGUAGAUAGGUUGGGGGUGUAAGUACAGUAAUGUAUUAAGCUGACCAAUACUAAUAGAUCGAGGGCUUAACCAC